rnacentral:rRNA from 1 species
CGCGUAGGCGGCCUGCUAAGUCUGGAGUGAAAGUCCUGCUCUCAAGGUGGGAAUUGCUUUGGAUACUGGUGGGCUGGAGUGCAGGAGAGGAAAGCGGAAUUACCGGUGUAGCGGUGAAAUGCGUAGAGAUCGGUAGGAACACCAGUGGCGAAGGCGGCUUUCUGGACUGAAACUGACGCUGAGGCGCGAAAGCGUGGGGAGCAAACA